CACAAUAGUAUUAUUAAUCCCAGCAAUAACAUUAGCCAACUCCUAGAUUUAAUACUGGACUAUUCUAUUACUAAAUAGAAGCAAUAAUGUUAAUAUGAGUAACAAGAAAUAUUUUCUCCUCGCACAAGUUUAAGUCAGUAACUGAUAAUACCCUGACCGUUAACAGUAAAUAAAAAUAACCCAACAAUAAAUGAUUUAUUACUUAUACUGUUAACCCAACACAGGAGUGCACCCAGGAAAGAUUCAAAGAAGUAAAAGGAACUCGGCAAACACUAACCCCCGCCUGUUUACCAAAAACAUCACCUCCAGCAUCCCUAGUAUUGGAGGCACUGCCUGCCCAGUGACUAAACGUUAAACGGCCGCGGUAUUCUGACCGUGCAAAGGUAGCAUAAUCAUUUGUUCUCUAAAUAAGGACUUGUAUGAAUGGCCACACGAGGGUUUUACUGUCUCUUACUUCCAAUCAGUGAAAUUGACCUCCCCGUGAAGAGGC
rnacentral:rRNA from 1 species